AAUAAAAAAUUAUCAUUUUUGUAAUAUACAUCAUAGCAGCAUUGAGCUAGAUUUUCAGAAUUAGACUAUACUUAUUGAGCUGGAGCUCGUGUCGACAGCGUCUAAAUGGAUUCUCUGAGCGUAGCCAUAUUUCUCUAUGGGCGUUUCUACUUUAAUUUGUUGUUCCCCUAUGGCUCUAUGAACACGACCAUUCAAGAGGCCCUCGGAGAGGAAUAUAUGUUGAGGAGCGAAGCAGAAUAUCCGGAGAUGCGUCACAUCCUUUUCCUGCUUUUAUUGGCGUUCAAUGUGUGUAUGGAGCUGUAGCAACAAUCCAUCCACAAUCCGUAAUGUUAAAUUGUCUUAUCCUUAAGCAAAUCUGAACCUAUUGGACAAAACUUGAGAGCCUAAGAAGCAUCCACACAAUGCGCUUUUUAUUGAUACUGCUACCAGUUGAAUCCGUAUGGCUAACUUGACCAUUCAGGAGGCUCUCGGGGAUGAAUAUGUGAUUUGGAGGGGCGUCUUCAAACACUUAUUCAAUUAUUAUGAAAUACACGACACUCUUCUGUGUGUAAUGGCAAUUAAUAAUUAAGCCACUAGCUAUCAAUACAAUACAAUACAAUACCAAAUGUUAAAGCCCUACAUCAAGAGUACACAGGCGGCAUACUUGUGCGUCUUGGGGUAGCCGUUGAUGCGCCGCUAAUUAUUAAAUGUUACUUACAUAUGUA